rnacentral:snoRNA from 1 species
CUUUGGUGAUGAGUUUUUAACUUCGGUCCGUGUUUCUGAAACCUGAUUAUACUAGAAGUUCUGAAGGG